rnacentral:lncRNA from 1 species
GUGUGAAGUCGGAAAAGCAUAAUCACAUGACUCUACAGUUAGGUAGUAUUUGCAGCUAGACACAGUUCCAUGCCCCUCACUUCUCCUUUUUUCCUCCCAUGACCAUGGAUGAAAUUUAGAUCUCUUGAAGGGUACAAAGGAAAAGAAUUAGGUAAGUGGAACAAAAAUAGGAGACACUUGUGAGGGGAGCCUCCCCACUCUCCCUUCAUUCCUUUCUGUUUUCCCCAUUGCUCCCUGGGAAUGGGACAUGGUUACUGGCCAACAUGGCAGAGCAUGGGGGUUGGGGAGUUGCCCUGAGAAGCCAGGAAUUCAGCUGAAACCUUGAGCAAAAAUAUGAGCAUUGCCUAGCACCUUCCCUUCUCAGCAUCAGCUACUUCCUUUCUAAUGGACCAGAGAAUGGUAGGUGGGCCCGCGACAUCCCUGGCUGGCUCCAUCAUCUCACACUCAUCCUGAAGGCUGGUGCCAAGGUGCUACCUUCUCUCCCCUGACUAGAUAUUUCCACAACCAGCUGCACCUGGCCCUGGCCCACUUGGGAUUCCUCUGGCUCUUUUGUCAUGCCAUUCCUCCUCCUGCACUCUGAACAGGCAGGAAAGGGAAUCAAAGGGAUGGCACAUGUGGCAAGGUUACUCCUCUCCUCUUUAUGAUCAGGAGGGCUUUAUGGCCAACUCUUCCUUAACUUUUCCUAUUAUUUUCUUACAAUCUGCCAUGUAAGUUUUGAGAGGUUCACCAGCAUCUUGUAGUGCUUAGAGCUGAAUCCAGGAACAUACGAUAUAGUCCAGUCCCCUCAUUUUUUAGGUAAAGAGCUACACCAUGGAGAUUUUAAAAUAUGUGCUCCAGUUCACAUUCUGACUCAUGCAAACAGGACUUAUAUCUAUUUCUGAUCUUGAAGAAUACUUCUGACAAGGCUUAAAGAAAGGAAGUCAG